GGGCAAAAGGGAGCAAGAAGACUAGGGGAGAAGAGCAAAAGGACGGGAGAGAUGAAAGUAGAUGAAGAAAUGUCUCAGUAAAGGUGUUCUGCUGAACGGCACGUGGCCCUGUGCUCUGGCAAGGCGGCGACAAAGGGGAGGUGACACUGCUACUAGGGGGGGUCCCAAGAAGCUUGGUUCUCACCGCUGCAUGGAAAUGCCUGUGUCCACUUUGAAACAAGGGCUUCUGUCCUCCAGACCGCAAAGACUGGCGAUCCUUAUACAUGGAACUCUUCAGAAGGGCUGAAAAUGAGACUAACUGGAUGGGGAAACAGAGGCUCAGCGACGUCAAACUCAGAAAAGGUGUUAAUAACUAAUAAACAGUAAGGACCGGACUGAAAGCUGCGUCUAGUGCUCCUUCUGCUCCGCCAUUCUACUACCAAAAUGAUCCCCCCCCCCCCCAAAAAGCCUUGAAAAGAAAAAAGUAAUGAGCUUCUGAGAAGCAAAGAUGCCUCCCCUUCCACUGCGUUUCACGUGUGCGAGAACCUGGCGGAGAAAGCGCUUUGAAUUCAGAACUGCAAGGCGGGACAGACUCUAGACAUUUCAUCUGUCAACCUCCACAACCGCAAGGAAUUCUGAACACGGGCCGGAGCAAAGGUUUGCUGGAAACAAUACUCAGGGCGCACAGACUCCGAAUCGGGGCCUGUGCUCUCUGCAACGCCGCAGGGGCCGAGCUUGCUUCCUCCAGGACCAGCUGCACCGAGCACCAGGGCCCCUCUUCUGCUGUCCUGAAAGUCAGCCGGAAGAAGAAGAACGCAGUGCCGGGCCGCAUGCAGACA